rnacentral:rRNA from 1 species
AACGGACGCUGGCGGCAUGCCUAACACAUGCAAGUCGAACGAUUGCCUUCGGGUGAUAGUGGCGCACGGGUGCGUAACGCGUGGGAAUCUGCCCUUAGGUUCGGAAUAACAGCUGGAAACGGCUGCUAAUACCGGAUGAUAUCGCGAGAUCAAAGAUUUAUCGCCUGAGGAUGAGCCCGCGUUGGAUUAGGUAGUUGGUGGGGUAAAGGCCUACCAAGCCGACGAUCCAUAGCUGGUCUGAGAGGAUGAUCAGCCACACUGGGACUGAGACACGGUCCAGACUCCUACGGGAGGCAGCAGUGGGGAAUAUUGGACAAUGGGCGCAAGCCUGAUCCAGCAAUGCCGCGUGAGUGAUGAAGGCCCUAGGGUUGUAAAGCUCUUUUACCCGGGAAGAUAAUGACUGUACCGGGAGAAUAAGCCCCGGCUAACUCCGUG